rnacentral:rRNA from 1 species
UAGUCCACGCCGUAAACGAUGUCUACUAGCCGUUGGGAGACUUGAUUUCUUAGUGGCGCAGCUAACGCACUAAGUAGACCGCCUGGGGAGUACGGCCGCAAGGUUAAAACUCAAAUGAAUUGACGGGGGCCCGCACAAGCGGUGGAGCAUGUGGUUUAAUUCGAUGCAACGCGAAGAACCUUACCAGGUCUUGACAUCCAGAGAAUCCUGUAGAGAUACGGGAGUGCCUUCGGGAAUUCUGAGACAGGUGCCGCAUGGCUGUCGUCAGCUCGUGUCGUGAGAUGUGGUUAGUCCGUACGAGCGCAACCCUUAUCCUUAUUUGUCCAGCAUUUAGUUGGGGACUAUAAGGAGACUGCCGGUGACAAACCGGAGGAAGGGUGGGGACGACGUC